UGUAAUAGACUAUGUUUGAUUAACCUAUUAAUAGAAUUCCAUUUACUUUACAAGAAAAAGUUAAUAUUAUUAAUUUUAGAUAAUUAAUUAAUAUUAACUUUUUGUCUAUCUCAAACAUAAAAUUAAAAAUUCAUGUAUAAUUAGUAUUUAACACAUUCAUAAAUCUGUAGGUGGGAUGGGUUUUCGAUCCAUUCAAGACUUUAAUUUGAUUAUGUUAGCUAAACAAGGCUGCUUCUUACACAUUUUAUCUAACACAUUUUAGUCACAUGUCAAUUUGCUUCUUCUUGUUGGACUAAGGUAAAUACUGCUACCAUAGCUCAUGUUCCUGCAACUUUUGGUGCUUGGAUUUCUCAUCUCUUUUGUAAGCUCGAAGAUGACAAGCUAUAUUCAGCUGCCAUGGUUUGUUGGGAACUUUGGAAAGCGAGAAACAACUUGAUGAUGGAGCUGAGCUAUGGAUUAAACCCUCUACUAACACAAUCAAAGUGAAUGUCGAUGUCGCUAUGUUUGAGCAAGAUGGCAAGUUCGGGUUGGGGCUUGUUGUUAGGAGCCACACCGGGGCCUUACAAAGAGCUUGUGAGGAGGCAGAGGCUAUGGGAGAAAGAAGCUCUUAGUUGGGUGAAGUGUAAUCAAUGGGUAAACUCAGUUAUUGAAACAGACAACAUGGUUACUAUUCAAGCUAUUCGUAGUCAUCUUCCAAUAUUUUCUACUUUCGAUUUGAUCUAACUGCCAAGAAUCGCUUUCUUCAUUAAAUAAUGUUAGUCUAAUUUUUGUUAAACGAUCUGCAAAUCGAAUAGUACAUUGUUUGGCUAGAAGUUCUCGAUUCUCUUCUUAUCGUAGUAUUUUUAAGUAUAAUGCUUCAGAUGAAUUAAAAUAUUUACGGAUCA